AGCUUUGCGCAGUGGCAGUAUCAUAGCCAAUGAGGUUAAUCCGAGGUGCGAUUAUUGCUAAUUGAAAACUUUAUUAAUUUAGACUGAACAAAACAAAUUUGACUUGAUAUCUGUAUA
rnacentral:snRNA from 1 species